GCAAGUCGAACGAUGAUGCCCAGCUUGCUGGGUGGAUUAGUGGCGAACGGGUGAGUAACACGUGAGUAACCUGCCCCUGACUCUGGGAUAAGCGUUGGAAACGACGUCUAAUACUGGAUAUGAUCACUGGCCGCAUGGUCUGGUGGUGGAAAGAUUUUUUGGUUGGGGAUGGAUUCGCUCCUUAUCAGCUUGUUGGUGAGGUAAUGGCUCACCAAGGCGACGACGGGUAGCCGGCCUGAGAGGGUGACCGGCCACACUGGGACUGAGACACGGCCCAGACUCCUACGGGAGGCAGCAGUGGGGAAUAUUGCACAAUGGGCGAAAGCCUGAUGCAGCAACGCCGCGUGAGGGAUGACGGCCUUCGGGUUGUAAACCUCUUUUAGUAGGGAAGAAGCGAAAGUGACGGUACCUGCAGAAAAAGCACCGGCUAACUACGUGCCAGCAGCCGCGGUAAUACGUAGGGUGCAAGCGUUGUCCGGAAUUAUUGGGCGUAAAGAGCUCGUAGGCGGUUUGUCGCGUCUGCUGUGAAAUCCCGAGGCUCAACCUCGGGCUUGCAGUGGGUACGGGCAGACUAGAGUGCGGUAGGGGAGAUUGGAAUUCCUGGUGUAGCGGUGGAAUGCGCAGAUAUCAGGAGGAACACCGAUGGCGAAGGCAGAUCUCUGGGCCGUAACUGACGCUGAGGAGCGAAAGCAUGGGGAGCGAACAGGAUUAGAUACCCUGGUAGUCCAUGCCGUAAACGUUGGGCGCUAGAUGUAGGGACCUUUCCACGGUUUCUGUGUCGUAGCUAACGCAUUAAGCGCCCCGCCUGGGGAGUACGGCCGCAAGGCUAAAACUCAAAGGAAUUGACGGGGGCCCGCACAAGCGGCGGAGCAUGCGGAUUAAUUCGAUGCAACGCGAAGAACCUUACCAAGGCUUGACAUACACCGGAAACGGCCAGAGAUGGUCGCCCCCUUGUGGUCGGUGUACAGGUGGUGCAUGGUUGUCGUCAGCUCGUGUCGUGAGAUGUUGGGUUAAGUCCCGCAACGAGCGCAACCCUCGUUCUAUGUUGCCAGCGGGUUAUGCCGGG
rnacentral:rRNA from 1 species